rnacentral:sRNA from 1 species
ACGAGAGUGGAGCGCAUACUAUGCAAACACAGAGAGCAACUUCUUUCCACAAAAUGCUAUCUUUCCAGUUUCCACAGAGUAGAAAAGCUGUAAACACAGAAAUUCCUGCGACGAAUGAGAUAAGAACACUUGUACAAAAUAAUAUUUUGUAUUAAUGAUUUUGGGGUUACAAUCUCUUCUACAACUUUAGCCUUUGAUUCGAUCUUCGUAAAGUGUAGAUUUGUGGAUUGUGAUGUUGAUCACAGGGCCUUCAAGGCUUGAUCUUAGGAUGAACAGGUGAUGAACAAUGAACGCUUUUUUCAAGGGGUCGUCAGGGCUUGAUCUUGAAUUGGUGGAAGUUCUUCAAGGGCUGUUGGGGCUUGAUCUUGAAGGAGGAUUUGGUGGAAGUUCCUCAAGGGUUGUUGGGGCUUGAUCUUAAAGGAGGAUUUGACGAAGAACGAAGAGAGCUUUCUUGAUCCUCCGGGAUUUGCUUGGGAGCUUUAGAGUUUCAAAGCUUCAGGGUUUUGGUGUGAUGUGAAUUCAUCCCUGAAAAUGAAUGCCUUGGCUUCCUAUUUAUAGAAUUCCAAAACUUGAUUUUUGGAUUUAAAUAAUCAAAAUGAAAUAAAUCAUUUAUGCCAGGUGUUGAUACGUGUCAUAUUUGAUGACUUUUUCGAUGAUUUUCGAUUUUUCGUUCAGUCACAUGCUACGUGUAAAAUUUAUGUGACAGAUGAACGUUGGAAUUUUAAUUAUUGAUCAAGAUUUAUUUCACCGAAAUUUCGAUGUCUAC